UGGGGAAUAUUGGACAAUGGGGGAAACCCUGAUCCAGCAAUGCCGCGUGUGCGAUGAAGGCCUGCGGGUUGUAAAGCACUUUCGGUGGGGAAGAAAUGCUCAAAGAUAAUACCUUUGAGAGCUGACGUUACCCACAUAAGAAGCACCGGCAAACUCUGUGCCAGCAGCCGCGGUAAUACAGAGGGUGCAAGCGUUAAUCGGAGUUACUGGGCGUAAAGGGCGUGUAGGCGGAUAUUUAAGUCGAUUGUGAAAUCCCUGGGCUUAACCUAGGAAUUGCAGUUGAUACUGAAUGUCUUGAGUAUGGUAGAGGAAAGUAGAAUUCUCGGUGUAGUGGUUAAAUACGUAGAUAUCGAGAGGAAUACCAGUGGCGAAGGCGACUUUCUGGGCCGAUACUGACGCU
rnacentral:rRNA from 1 species